rnacentral:rRNA from 1 species
GUCCGCGCUGUAAACGAUGGAUACUAGGUGUUCGGGCAUUAACCCCUGAGUACUGCAGCUAACGCAAUAAGUAUCCCGCCUGGGAAGUACGGUCGCAAGGCUAAACUCAAAGAAUUGACGGGGCCCGCACAAGCGGUGGAGUAUGUGGUUUAAUUCGAAGCAACGCGCAGAACCUUACCUACCCUUAACAUCCUGUGCUAGUGGCAGAGAUGUCAUGUUCUCCUCGGAGACGCAGAGAUAGGUGCUGCAUGGCUGUCGU